GUGGCCCCGAGUACAGAGGUCCUGCCUGCACCCCGCCUCUGCAGAUCAGCCCAGUACCAGGAAUCUCCGAGUCUGCUCAGCCAUGAGACCCUUGGACUGAAUGAAGCUCCCAUCCCCCACCUCAAACUCAUUCCAUGCCUGGUCCCAAGCAGCCUCCCUUGCUGCCACCAACACAGGUGCCUUUUCACCUUCCUGAAGGGCUUUCUGAUCAAACUGUUUGCCCUGAAUCCUACUCAGCCUGUUAUGAAACAAGCUGUCUAACCUUGGAGAACCUUAAUUUACCUAUCUGUGAAAUGGGACCCACGCAGCAUGCUUGCGACUGAGGGAGAACCACACAAGUCAUGAAUGUGGCGACGAAACUGUCCCAGCUGCAGCUCAUUCCCUGUCACAGAAAG
rnacentral:lncRNA from 1 species